UACGUAGGGUGCAAGCGUUGUCCGGAAUUAUUGGGCGUAAAGAGCUCGUAGGCGGUCUGUCGCGUCUGCUGUGAAAAUCCAGGGCUCAACCCUGGACCUGCAGUGGGUACGGGCAGACUAGAGUGCGGUAGGGGAGAUCGGAAUUCCUGGUGUAGCGGUGAAAUGCGCAGAUAGCAGGAGGAACACCGGUGGCGAAGGCGGAUCUCUGGGCCGUAACUGACGCUGAGGAGCGAAAGCAUGGGGAGCGAACAGG
rnacentral:rRNA from 1 species